rnacentral:rRNA from 1 species
GACGUAGGGUGCGAGCGUUGUCCGGAUUUAUUGGGCGUAAAGAGCUCGUAGGCGGCUCGUCGCGUCAGCUGUGAAAACCCGCAGCUUAACUGUGGGCUUGCAGCUGAUACGGGCGGGCUAGAGUUCGGUAGGGGAGACUGGAAUUCCUGGUGUAGCGGUGAAAUGCGCAGAUAUCAGGAAGAACACCCGUGGCGAAGGCGGCUCUCUGGGGACGGUACUGACGCUGAGACGCGAAAAGCGUGGGGGAGCGAACAGGG